UCCGAAGCGCGCUGCAGGACCAGCUUCCGGUCGUUGACGGCGAGCGCGGAUCGGAUGCGCGCGCGCGAUUUUUGGCUUCCCGCUGCCGCGCGCAAGUCGUCCCGCCACCCAAGGAUUCGCGCGUUCCUCAGCCCACCGCCGUCCGCCAGCAAAAUCUCCCUCCGGCCACCCGGAUCCUCCUGCAAAAUCUCCCAGCGGCGCCCCGGAUCCCCGAUGCCUCCACCGGGGGAGCUGCGGCGGCGCUGAUGCGGAACUCUACGCCGACACCGCCGACGCCGCCCCCACCAAGGCACCAGCUCCCGGUCCUCCGAUCCCGGGGCUCCCGAAGCCAUGGAGGGGGAGGAGGGCCCCGGCGCGGACAUGGAGGCGCUCGUCCGCCGCCUGAGGCUCCACCGCGCGGCCCCCUCCCCGUACGAACGUCUACGCCUUCCUCGCCUUCACGCUCCCCGCGUCCUCUGAAGCCUACGCUCGCCUCACCGCCCUGGUGCCCAAGGAAGAUGAUACUGAGAUGGAUGUUGAUGCUGCGGCUUCGGCAACACAGAUUUCAAUCAAGCAUGGUCUCCCUGAAAUUGAAAUAUAUUUUGCUUGUCCUGAUUUUCCUUAUUGAUCAAAAGAAAUAUGCCGAUACUUGUUCUACUUGGGUAAGAUUGGGACAAUUCAGUUGGAGUACACUGAUGCUAAAGAAAGCCUCCUCCAAGCUGCUCGGAAGGCACCCACAUCAGCUCGUGGUUUUCGUAUUCAGUGCAACAAAUGGGCUAUCAUUGUGAGGCUACUUCUUGGAGAGAUUCCAGAGAGGACUGUUUUCAUGCAGAAAGGAAUGAAGAAAGCUUUGACACCUUAUUUUGAGCUCACAAAUGCUGUCAGGGUGGGGGACCUGGAACUGUUCAGGGCUGUCCCAGACAAAUUUGCAAGCACAUUCAGUGCAGACAGGAUAUGAAUAUGAUAGAUGACCACCUUUUCUCCAUCUGGGAUUUUUUCAGGGGAAGUUGCAUUGCC